rnacentral:rRNA from 1 species
UACGGAGGAUGCAAGCGUUAUCCGGAUUUAUUGGGUUUAAAGGGUGCGUAGGCGGAAAAAUAAGUCAGUGGUGAGAACCUGCAGCUUAACUGUAGAACUGCCAUUGAUACUGUUAUUCUUGAGUAUGGUCAAGGUAGGCGGAAUGUGUAAUGUAGCGGUGAAAUGCUUAGAUAUUACACAGAACACCGAUUGCGAAGGCAGCUUGCUGGGCCAUUACUGACGCUCAUGCACGAAAGCGUGGGGAUCGAACAGG